AAUCAGCCGCCACUUUCAUUUUCCUCCACCGCCGAUCCACCACUGAAGCUAUUUCUUCUCUCAUUGAAGUAUUAGAUCAAGUAAUCUUUCACAAGAUGUUAUUGAUGAGGUCUUUUACAAAUUGUAAAGUGUUUUCAAGCAGAUUCAAAGAAGGAAAAUCUUCAAUUACUCUCAAAAUAUCUGUUGGAAGUUUUAAUUCUCUGAUGUUCCUCUUAAUUCCCUCAUGUUGAUAAGGGUUUUACGUACAGCUUCAAAACACAUGUGCGUAGAUUAUAUGGUUUGUUAAGGUGGUGAAUCUACAUGCAAUGGCCAAUGUAUUAUUUACAGCAGGCAACAACCAAUUUUCACCUAGACAACCGUCGGGGUUCAAUGAUAAUGAUUUUACUUCUCAACCUUUCUCUUUUUAAUUGGUUAUGUUAAUUAUUUUAUUUGAUCAUGUGGGUUACUUAAUAUAUCAACCUUAUCAAGGGAGUUGUGAAGAUCAAGCAGUAAUGAAGAAGAAAUGCAAAUCCCAGUUGAAAAAGGUCCUCCAGUCGGAGUGCGGGGUAAUCCUUUUGGGAACAUCUCACCAGUAAAUUGGUCAAGUUUGUGUGACCUCUUUGUUAUGGAGAGUAUUAAGAAAUGUCGUGAUCGUCAUGAGAAUUUUAAUGCCUCGAGGGCAUACAUAGUCAGGUUCAAGGGACAACAAAGGUUUCAAGGGCAUAUGUUGCCAGUUUCACGGGACGAAAAAUAAAUAUAUACAUAGAGAAAAUGGAACAAUUUAAGGAAGCCAACACAAAUCUUGGGCACAAUACACUCGUUAAUGGUUCUUGAUCCAGCUGAUUCUCCAACCAUUGAAGAUCCAGAAGCUGCUUAGUGCUUAGUUUUAUGUUACUCCUUGUUUUUAGUUAAAGUUACAUGAGUGCUAGUUUUCUUCAAUAAUUUAGAAGUGUUGUCUUUUUAAUAGUUCAAUUACUGCUUAAGUUAUUAGAAAAUUAUUCUGUUUAAAUGGUUUUCCUUUCUAUAUUAUUUACAUAUUUUAAUGAAUUACAAAGACUACAUUUGUUGCUGACUA